UCGGCAUUUUUUUCCCAAGCCGCCGGUGGUCAGUCUCCCCUUUGUCUGAUCUGCAAACAAUGAGUAGCAGGCGGACAGGAAGGAGUGAGAGAUAGGGCGGUGGAUGCGCGGGAAGGUUCCGCAGACGUCUUGGGAUGGUUUCAGGAGAUUUGCAGAUGAGCCGCGCAAACCAAACAUCACGUCAAAAUCCGACAGAAUCACUCAGUUCAGAUGGACUAGGACGUUAGCAGCUUUUUAGUGUUACAUUUUGGGAUCUGGCCUGUCCAGUAGGAACAUCAGCUGGGAUUAUAAUAAGUGCUUCUGCCAUCCUUCUGGCUGCAGGCUCCAGCAGGACAUUGUAAAACUUCAGAGGUUUCAGCAGAUAUUGAAUAUCCCAGUGUAGAAGGUGAUGUUUGAGCUUCCUGAACAACUGCAGUGUGUGUGGUGAAGGUUUUCUCACAAUGCUGUUGGGUAAAAAGUGAUGAUGCAGGAACAGUGAUGUACAUACAAAGAACAGCAACUUGAAUUUAUAUAGAACCUUUCACAUAAUAGAAUGUGCCAAGGCUGUUCACAGAAAUUUCAAAAAGCAACAGUUGACAAAGGACCACAUGGUGAUCUUGGGUCAGGUGACCAAAAUCUGGGACACAGAGGGAAGUUUUAAGGAUUAUUUUAAAUUAGGAAGAUGAGGUAGAGGUUUAGGGAUGAUUCCAGAGCUCGUGGCCUUGCUAACUGAAGACCAGUAGUGAUGAGAUUAAAAUUGGGAAUGUUCAGGAAGACAGAACAAGAAGAAUUGAGACAUCUCAGAGGCUGGAGGAGGUUACGGAUAUGGAGGGGGGGUGGGGGGUGUCGUGAGGCUG